CACCCCCCAACCGCCCAAACCCCUUUCCCCUCACUUACUUACGGCUGUUAGCAGCCAACACCCCUCACUUUUAAUUUUUAAUUAUCUCACACACACUAAACACACACACAACUCACGCAUAUCUCCAUUGUUGAGGAGUUGGAGCUUUUGAGCUCCGUUUUGAGCGAGAAGACGAGCCCCGAUCAUCUUUUCGAACACGUAUCUAAGUAGGUCCUUUUGGGAAGUAACGACUUGAGGGAGAGAGUGACGUUACUCAUUGAUACAGAGACACAACGAGGUUGAGCUGAUGUGAUGAUGGUGCUGCAAUGAGCGGAGUCUCCAGGGUUGUUAAUAAAUAGUUAACCUGUCUAGAAUAUGUCUUCAUACAUAUGUCUAGCUACUUUCCGCUGCAAGAUGUUGUUGAUGUUAUAGUAUGUUAUGUCAUACUUUGAGUCUUAAGAGAAUGGUUUCAUACGAUGUAUAACUUGAUUAAUGAUAUUAAUUAAGUUUUAUGCUGUCUUUCA